rnacentral:rRNA from 1 species
UACGUAGGGACCAAGCGUUGUCCGGAUUUAUUGGGCGUAAAGAGCGUGUAGGCGGCCAGGUAGGUCAGCUGUGAAAACUCGAGGCUCAACCUCGAGACGUCGGUUGAAACCACCUGGCUAGAGUCCGGAAGAGGAGAGUGGAAUUCCUGGUGUAGCGGUGAAAUGCGCAGAUAUCAGGAAGAACACCCGUGGCGAAGGCGGCUCUCUGGGACGGUACUGACGCUGAGACGCGAAAGCGUGGGGAGCGAACAGG